rnacentral:rRNA from 1 species
AGUGAACGCUGGCGGUAGGCCUAACACAUGCAAGUCGAACGGCAGCACAGUAAGAGCUUGCUCUUACGGGUGGCGAGUGGCGGACGGGUGAGGAAUACAUCGGAAUCUACUUUUUCGUGGGGGAUAACGUAGGGAAACUUACGCUAAUACCGCAUACGACCUACGGGUGAAAGCAGGGGAUCUUCGGACCUUGCGCGAUUGAAUGAGCCGAUGUCGGAUUAGCUAGUUGGCGGGGUAAAGGCCCACCAAGGCGACGAUCCGUAGCUGGUCUGAGAGGAUGAUCAGCCACACUGGAACUGAGACACGGGCCAGCCUCCUACGGGAGGCAGGAGUGGGGAAUAUUGGACAAUGGGCGCAAGCCUGAUCCAGCCAUACCGCGUGGGUGAAGAAGGCCUUCGGGUUGUAAAGCCCUUUUGUUGGGAAAGAAAAGCAGCAGGUUAAUACCCCGCUGUUCUGACGGUACCCAAAGAAUAAGCACCGGCUAACUUCGU